CUCCCGAUGGUCUAGUUGGUUCAUGGCGUCUGACUGUAAUUGCACGGUUUCAUCAGAAAGUCACCUGUUCGAUUCAGGUUCGGGAGA